UGAUUGAGCCGCACCAAUAUC
rnacentral:miRNA from 1 species